rnacentral:lncRNA from 10 species
GCACGUUUUUCACUCCUGUGCUCCAUUUUGGAGUCUGAGCUGACUUUCUGCGGGAAAGUGACAUGCCACCUGACCUGGGUCCAUCAUGUUCCUUGCUGCACCGACUAUGGUGGGACUGAGAAUCAAAAGUCUUAUAUCCAAUUAGAUGUUGUAGUCCAGACUGGAAUGAAGGUGGGCAGGCAGUCAUUAAUCCUUAAAACCCCUUUUAAGCAAUGUAAGAGCCAACAACUAAAAGUCAAAAGGUAAGGUUAUAUAACUGAAUUGUCUAUGAAUUGUAUGCAUUGAACUAUUGUAAUCUUGGCUUAUAGGAAUGAUCUCACUAGCUAUACAAAACAUAAGUAUUUUAUUUAGCUGUUUAGGCAUUUGUGUGCCCAUCCUUGAUUUGGGGGGUCUGAAUUAAUUUUAUCUCACAAGAACCGGCCCUUACAAUCUCACACAUUUGUAUCUUCCAUGAUAGUCCCAGGGUCUGGAGGAACUGAACGGUUUUAAAUUCUGGAUAUAUUAAUAAAACAAAAUAUUCACCAUUAGCAACAUUUUAAGCAAAAAUGCCAUAAGCAUUGUCUUCUUCUAAGAGUGACAGAACCGCGACGGACGGAUCCCGAGGUCAGGAGAUCAAGACCAUCCUGGCCAACAUGGUGAAACCCUGUGUCUACUAAAAUACAAAAAAUUAGCUGGGCAUGGUGGUGCGUGCCUCUAGUCUCAGCUACUCGGGAGGCAGAGGCAGAGGAAUUGCUUGAGCAGGAGGUAGAGAUUGCAGUGGGCCAAGAUUGCACCCCUGUACUCCAGCCUGGGCAAUAGAGCAAGACUCUGUCUCAAAAAAAAAAAAAAAAAGAGUGACAGGAAAGGAAGCCUAUAGGUAACUAAACAUUUAAAUUAUUUGUUAUUAAGGCACAAAAUAAAUUAUAUGAUAUUUCAUAUAUUUCUAUUUCAGAUAGAAGCAAAAUUAUUGAAUAAAGUAUAAUACAGGCCUGUCCCUGUGUUGCAUGAAAGCAGUGUACUUUGAUUAUUGCCUUUGCUUGAGUCUAAAGAUGAGGCUUUGGUUAACUUGAGUUUGAUGUUAGAUGCUGGCAGGAGUCUGUGUCUUCUUUAGAGGAGCUACAUGUAUCCAGGAGUCAAUUCCUUGUACCUUAACACCACAAAGAUUAGUUAAUAGCACCUGAUAAGAAGUUUUUCAGGGUGUUGGAGGUGGUGAUACACUUCACCGUGAUUAAUAAUUUUUAGCUUUGAUAAGCCCCAGCAAUAAGUCAGAGACUUAAUUUAGAAUUCAAUUUUGGAGAUGUCUGUCAAAGGUGUUAGAAAGCUUAAAAUAUUUGAUCAAAAGCAAACUAUAGGUGCUUGUAAAACAAUAGUUAUUCAUUUAACCAAAGUGAUCACUGAAAGACUUUAAAGGCAAUACAGAAAGUUACACAUGUGUAAAAACCUUACGCCUUUCAAAUUUCAUAGGUUUUUUUAAAACCAAUUAAACACUUUCUAAAGGCAACGUAGGAACUAUCUUGAUGAAAUGUAAACUCUUGUUUCUUAAGGCAGUUACCAAAAAGUCAAAAGAAAAUCCUUUUUAGUGCAACUGCCUCUCCUUAGGGGAAAGCCUGGUUAGAUAAUCUGGAAGUACAACUUAUAAUAAAAAGUGCUUGAGUUUAAUCAA